UAUGGUGGCACACAUGCCUAUUCUUGGU
rnacentral:piRNA from 1 species